rnacentral:rRNA from 1 species
GACGAACGCUGGCGGCGUGCCUAAUACAUGCAAGUAGGACGCAGUUGCGAACGGGUGAGUAACGCGUAGGUAACUACCUAUUAGAGGGGGAUAACUAUUGGACACGAUAGCUAAUACCGCAUACUAGUAGAUGGACCUGCGUUGUAUUCGCUAGUAGGUAGGGUAAUGGCCUCCCUAGGCAAGGAUACAUAGCCGACCGGAGAGGGGGAUAGGCCAAACUGGGACUGGGACACGGGCCAGACUCCUACGGGAGGCAGCAGUAGGGAAUCUUCGGCAAUGGGGGGAACCCUGACCGAGCAACGCCGCGGGAGGGAAGAAGGUUUUCGGAGCGUAAAGCUCUGUUGGUAAGGAAGCGGUACUUAACCAGAAAGGGACGGCUAACUACGUGCCAGCGGCCGCGGUAAUUC